rnacentral:rRNA from 1 species
GACGAACCGUGCGAACGUUAUUCGGAAUCACUGGGCUUAAAGCGCGUGUAGGCGGGACGGCACGUCGGUCGCUGAAAGCCCCCGGCUCAACCGGGGAACGGGCGCCGAUACGACCGUCCUGGAGGGACGUAGGGGGACCUGGAACUUCCGGUGGAGCGGUGAAAUGCGUUGAGAUCGGAAGGAACGCCCGUGGCGAGAGCGGGUCUCUGGGCCGAUACUGACGCUGAGGAGCGAAAGCGUGGGGAGCGAACAGG